AGCAAUUUCCUUCUGAUUGAACCACUUUUGACAAAGGUUGCCAAUUCAGUUGAAGUCCAAUUUAGUAGAACCGUGUCCUACUUUAGCCAAUUGCGUGGCAUUUUUACGAAAAAUUCCACACAGCAUACCAUUCAAAUGCGGAAGGCAAAAAAGAGGCAAAAAAAUUCCACACAGCUUUCGUAUUCAUUGUUACACUUACGCAUGCCUAAUAAAAAAGGCCAAAAAAGACAAAAAAGGAAAACAAAUUAAAGCAGAAGUGUUUCAUCAGAUCUAGAUGGCGAUGGAGGCUGACAGGAAAACAAAUUUAAUAUGCUUCUGGAUUUACUCCCAGACCCAGUAAUCAAUCAUACUACUACUUCCCAUUCCCCGUCCCCAGUCCCCACACCCAUAGUGCCAUAGAGAGAGAGAGGGAAGCAAAGAUGAAUGAAGGGGGAAAUGGAAAUAGAACUGGAAAUGCACAUUAGAGCAGAGGCAGACAUACCAGUAACCAGAAAAGCGAUGGCGAUGGAGGCUGACAGAUGCGGCGAGCAACGGCUUGAGAGUAACGGAGGUAGGGUUUAGAAGUCACUCGUUCGAACAGAGAAGAAGGGAGGAAGAGAAACUAAAGCACUCAGAUGUGAAUCUCUAAAAUCCAAAGCGAUUAGAAAGAAGUUAUUGGCCAGAAGUCACGGGCCAUGGAGUUGGACGAAGCAGGGGACGGGGCUGUGCUCCUCAAAAGAUGUCUUUAAAGGUUAUUCUGCUUCAUCAAGCUACCAAGCGCCGGCAGAUGAUCCGUCCAGGAACGCCACCAGGUGCCCGAGAAGGUGAUGAAAUACAGGGAUGUAAUUGCAGACUGUUCUAAUAAGCAGAAGGCUGGGGCCUCAAGAAAUGUUACAGGUUCAUUAUCAACCUACAGAAAACCAAUAGAUAAUCAAUCUUGGAAUGAUGUAAAGUGGAUGCACAGGUUCGAGUAAGGAGUCGAAAUGCAGCUUGGCCUUGGAGCUGAUAAAGGCUCGCAAAGAAAAAUUAUCAUUUGGCGCCUCAAAAUGCAAUAGAUACAAGGAAGUUCUUGCUGGCUGACCUAGGGAAGAAAAGGGGAACCUAAUGCUUAGAUUUGAAGAUUGCCAGCUGAAUCAUGUCUUGGCAACAGGAGACAACAAGUUUCGAUGAGUUUUACUUUGUUCCACUCUCCCCCUCCCCCAUUUUAAUGAAGAUGAAAGGGAAUUCAUUUUCACCAAUUCUUUUGUAACUCACCUCAUUUUAUUUGUUGAAUUCUGCGUAAGCAAUGAAUAGAAUCCAGCCACACAAGGUAAUCAACUCAUCUUCAA